GAUGAACGCUGACAGGAUGCUUAACACAUGCAAGUCUACUUGAACUUCGGUUUGGGUGGCGGACGGGUGAGUAACGCGUAAAGAACUUGCCUCACAGUUAGGGACAACAUUUGGAAACGAAUGCUAAUACCUGAUAUUAUGAUUUUAGGGCAUCCUAGGAUUAUGAAAGCUAUAUGUGCUGUGAGAGAGCUUUGCGUCCCAUUAGCUAGUUGGAGAGGUAACGGCUCACCAAGGCGAUGAUGGGUAGCCGGCCUGAGAGGGUGAACGGCCACAAGGGGACUGAGACACGGCCCUUACUCCUACGGGAGGCAGCAGUGGGGAAUAUUGGACAAUGGACCAAAAGUCUGAUCCAGCAAUUCUGUGUGCACGAUGACGUUUUUCGGAAUGUAAAGUGCUUUCAGUUGGGAAGAAAAAAAUGACGGUACCAACAGAAGAAGUGACGGCUAAAUACGUG
rnacentral:rRNA from 1 species